rnacentral:rRNA from 1 species
AUUGAACGCUAGCGGGGUGCUUUACACAUGCAAGUCGAACGAGUGGCGGACGGGUGAGAAAUGUAUAGGAACGUGCCCAGUGGCUGGGGAUAACUACUGGAAACAGUGGCUAAUACCGCAUACUAUUGGCGUGUCCGAUAUGGGAUUAGCUAGUUGGUGGGGUAAAGGCUAACCAAGGCAACGAUCCGUAGCUGGUUUGAGAGGUCGACCAGCCACACUGGAACUGAGACACGGCCCAGACUCCUACGGGAGGCAGCAGUGGGGAAUUUUCGACAAUGGGGGAAAGCCUGACCGAGCCAUCCCGCGUGUAUGAGAAGGCCUUCGGGUUGUAAAGCACUUUUGGCAGAGAAGCGGUAUCUGCAGAAUAAGCACCGGCUAACUACGUGCCAGCAGCCGCGGUAAUAC